GUGAAUCAUCGAAUCUUUGAACGCAAAUUGCACUCUCUUCGAAGAGUAUGCCUGUUUGAGGGUCAGCCUAAAAAAAAUAGACAUCGUUACUGUUUCGCGGUGACAUUCGUCGGAAAUUGUGUCAUCUUAAACCUUUGGGUUUUAAGCGGCUUAAAAUUAUCUUUACGUUUCCACGAAAGUUUCUAAGAUUAACUUCUUAUACGUUUACA
rnacentral:misc_RNA from 1 species